rnacentral:ncRNA from 1 species
CGACCGGAGUGAUCCGGCUCGUGCGAGCAGAAGUCAGCAGAGGUCGUAGUACCGGAGCUUCGCAUUCCACCGGAGUCGGGAAGGAC